rnacentral:lncRNA from 1 species
CCGCGUCCUCACCCCGCGUCCUCGCGCCCUCACACCUGGCUUCAUCCACCCCAGCCACAGAUGUUUUCUGGGCCUCAGUCCCCCUCAUCCUCUGCUGCUCCUCCCACGGCCCCCCCACCCUGGGGCCCACUCCCUCCCCGCCUUCAGGUCUUGGCUGUGGGGACACUUCUCGGUGAGGCCCCGCUUCCACCCCAUCCCUCAGGGCCCUGCCCUGCGCCAGCCCAGGGGCCCCGCAGGAUGUUCACCACCGCCCAGCGCUUCCCUUCCUCUUUCGCGUUCUGUGUCUGCACUGGAGCGGCCGGCCCGGCAGUCACAGGAGCUGCACGGCAAUGCAUCUGAGACCAUGCGGUGUCACCUUCACAGAAGUGCUCUGGCACAGAGACUCCAGCCUUGCCGGCCUCUCGCCUCCCAAGCACAGAAGCCUCCAGAACGCUGCUUCAAGGACAAGCCCAGGAGACCUGCCAUGCUCAUGCGUGUCUUUGGAAACAGGUUCUCUAAAUUUUGCUUGUGGUUUGUUAAAAAAAAAAAAAAAAUCAGAAGUGUAAUCAAAGACUUCAACAAACGAAGCACCAAAACACUUCAGCUUUGAAAUGUAGAAUUGCAAUGACUGGAAACACGGCUCGCAAAGCAAAAGACAUUAAAAUUCAGUCAUCCCUACAGAAGCCGGACAGGAAUUGAUCACAUCCACUAGUGAAGGCUCAGAAAGUGACAAGAUUUCAUUUGGAAAUCGUACCUGUGUCCUUGGGAACAUCCUGAACCUUGGGAAGCAUCAGCUCAUGGAGUUCCUAUUAACUGGAUAAAUUUAUAUUCUAGAUUGAAAUGGAAUGGAAUUAAGUAGGCCCACGGUUUUGCAGCACGUACAUUUGAAGAAUCAUUAAAAAUCAUCAUAGAAACAA